rnacentral:rRNA from 1 species
GAUGGGAGCUUGCUCCCUGAUGUUAGCGGCGGACGGGUGAGUAACACGUGGGUAACCUGCCUGUAAGACUGGGAUAACUCCGGGAAACCGGGGCUAAUACCGGAUGGUUGUCUGAACCGCAUGGUUCAGACAUAAAAGGUGGCUUCGGCUACCACUUACAGAUGGACCCGCGGCGCAUUAGCUAGUUGGUGAGGUAACGGCUCACCAAGGCGACGAUGCGUAGCCGACCUGAGAGGGUGAUCGGCCACACUGGGACUGAGACACGGCCCAGACUCCUACGGGAGGCAGCAGUAGGGAAUCUUCCGCAAUGGACGAAAGUCUGACGGAGCAACGCCGCGUGAGUGAUGAAGGUUUUCGGAUCGUAAAGCUCUGUUGUUAGGGAAGAACAAGUGCCGUUCAAAUAGGGCGGCACCUUGACGGUACCUAACCAGAAAGCCACGGCUAACUACGUGCCAGCAGCCGCGGUAAUACGUAGGUGGCAAGCGUUGUCCGGAAUUAUUGGGCGUAAAGGGCUCGCAGGCGGUUUCUUAAGUCUGAUGUGAAAGCCCCCGGCUCAACCGGGGAGGGUCAUUGGAAACUGGGGAACUUGAGUGCAGAAGAGGAGAGUGGAAUUCCACGUGUAGCGGUGAAAUGCGUAGAGAUGUGGAGGAACACCAGUGGCGAAGGCGACUCUCUGGUCUGUAACUGACGCUGAGGAGCGAAAGCGUGGGGAGCGAACAGGAUUAGAUACCCUGGUAGUCCACGCCGUAAACGAUGAGUGCUAAGUGUUAGGGGGUUUCCGCCCCUUAGUGCUGCAGCUAACGCAUUAAGCACUCCGCCUGGGGAGUACGGUCGCAAGACUGAAACUCAAAGGAAUUGACGGGGGC